AUGUUGUUGGGCUCUGGGGAUGGACCGCUGUUUCGCUUUCAGCUUCCUCACUAUUGAUGUUUAUCCGCUGUAGCAGUAAAGAGCCCGGUUAUGUGAAAGCAUCUGAAGGGAUUCGAAAUAAUGCUGAUGCUGAGGGUCCUUUGGUGAAAAUUGAUCUGAUCAACUCAGCUAAUUGGACUGGAAAUUGGUCUCAGCUCUGUCCUACUUGUAAGGUUCUUUUAAAGUCAUUUUUAUACUUCA